rnacentral:rRNA from 1 species
GAUGAACGCUGGCGGCGUGCCUAACACAUGCAAGUCGAGCGAAAAGAUAAGUAGCUUUCUCCUUUGCCGGUAGCGGCGGGCGGGUGAGUAACGCAUGGAUAGCCUACUUCUAUUACGUGGGUGAUUACGGGGAGACGGAGCUGCUAAUAGCUCAUAUGUCCUACGGGUUGAUGCAAUAGUUCUUGGCGGCUUUGGCGUCUGUUAUAGCUGGAUUCGCGUCGGAUUAGCUAGUUGGUAAGGUAACGGCCUACCAAGGCGACGAUGCGUAGCUGACCUGAGAGGGUGAUCGGCCACACUGGAACUGAGACACGGUCCAGACUCCUACGGGAGGCAGCAGUAGGGAAUAUUCGGCAAUGGGCGAAAGCCUGAUGCAGCAACGCCGCGUGAGUGAAGAAGGCCUUCGGAUUGUAAAGCCCUGUUAUUGGGGAAGAAAAGAAGCGGAUUAAACCCUCGCUGUCUUGACGGUACCUAAUGAGAAAGCAACGGCUAACUACGUG